GACGAACCGUCCAAACGUUAUUCGGAAUUACUGGGCGUAAAGGGUGCGUAGGCGGGUUUUUAAGUCAGAGGUGAAAUCCUGGAGCUCAACUCCAGAACUGCCUUUGAUACUGAGAAUCUUGAGUAUGGGAGAGGUGAGUGGAACUGCGAGUGUAGAGGUGAAAUUCGUAGAUAUUCGCAAGAACACCAGUGGCGAAGGCGGCUCACUGGCCCAUAACUGACGCUGAGGCACGAAAGCGUGGGGAGCAAACAGG
rnacentral:rRNA from 1 species